GACAGAGGUGCCAAGCGUUAAUCGGAAUUACUGGGCGUAAAGCGUGCGCAGGCGGCUUUGCAAGACAGAUGUGAAAUCCCCGGGCUUAACCUGGGAACUGCAUUUGUGACUGCAUGGCUGGAGUGCGGCAGAGGGGGAUGGAAUUCCGCGUGUAGCAGUGAAAUGCGUAGAUAUGCGGAGGAACACCGAUGGCGAAGGCAAUCCCCUGGGCCUGCACUGACGCUCAUGCACGAAAGCGUGGGGAGCAAACAGG
rnacentral:rRNA from 1 species